rnacentral:rRNA from 1 species
GACGAACCGAGCGAACGUUAUUCGGAAUCACUGGGCUUAAAGGGCGCGUAGGCGGGUGGCCAAGUCUAUGGUGAAAUCCUCCAGCUUAACUGGAGAACUGCCGUGGAUACUGGUCAUCCCGAGGAAGGUAGGGGCAUCUGGAACUGGUGGUGGAGCGGUGAAAUGCGUUGAUAUCAUCAGGAACUCCGGUGGCGAAGGCGAGAUGCUGGACCUUUUCUGACGCUGAGGCGCGAAAGCCAGGGGAGCAAACGGG